rnacentral:rRNA from 1 species
UACGUAGGGUGCGAGCGUUAAUCGGAAUUACUGGGCGUAAAGCGUGCGCAGGCGGUUUUGUAAGUCAGAUGUGAAAUCCCUGGGCUUAACCUAGGAACUGCAUUCGAUACUGGAUAACUGGAGUACUGUAGAGGGUAGUGGAAUUUCCGGUGUAGCGGUGAAAUGCGUAGAGAUCGGAAGGAACACCAGUGGCGAAGGCGGCUACCUGGACAGAUACUGACGCUGAGGCGCGAGAGCGUGGGGAGCAAACAGG